rnacentral:rRNA from 1 species
AUGAGUUCUAAUAUGCAGCGCCAAGCAGUUCCGCUUUCUCGGUCCGAGAAAUGCAUUGUUGGAACUGGAUUGGAACGCCAAACAGCUCUAGAUUCGAGGGUUUCCAUUAUAGCCGAACGCGAGGGAAAGAUCAUUUCUACUGAUAGUCAUAAGAUACUUUUAUCAAGUAGUGGGAAGACUAUAAGUAUUCCUUUAGUUAACCACCGUCUUUCUAUUCACUCGUGGGAUCCGGGCGGUCCGGGGGGGGGCCACCACGGCUCCUCUCUUCUCGAGAAUCCAUACAUCCCUUAUCAGUGUAUGGAGAGCUAUCUCUCGAGCACAGGUUGA